CAGCAGCCGCGGGAAUACGUAGGGUGCAAGCGUUAAUUGGAAUUACUGGGCGUAAAGCGUGCGCAGGCGGUUAUAUAAGACAGAUGUGAAAUCCCCGGGCUCAACCUGGGAACUGCAUUUGUGACUGUAUAGCUAGAGUACGGCAGAGGGGGAUGGAAUUCCGCGUGUAGCAGUGAAAUGCGUAGAUAUGCGGAGGAACACCGAUGGCGAAGGCAAUCCCCUGGGCCUGUACUGACGCUCAUGCACGAAAGCGUGGGGAGCAAACAGGAUUAGAUACCCCGGUAGUCCCUGUCUCUUAUAC
rnacentral:rRNA from 1 species